rnacentral:rRNA from 1 species
CGUGGGUAACCUGCCCAAGAGAUCGGGAUAACACCUGGAAACAGAUGCUAAUACCGGAUAACAACAGAUGAUGCCUAUCAACUGUUUAAAAGAUGGUUCUGCUAUCACUCUUGGAUGGACCUGCGGUGCAUUAGCUAGUUGGUAGGGUAACGGCCUACCAAGGCGAUGAUGCAUAGCCGAGUUGAGAGACUGAUAGGCCACAUUGGGACUGAGACACGGCCCAAACUCCUACGGGAGGCAGCAGGG